rnacentral:rRNA from 1 species
AUGGAAAGCACAAACGAGGGAGAUCACCAGGAUAAUGGCAGUCUGAAUACAUCGAGUGCCAUACCAAGUUGGGUACCACAGAUGGGCAUGAAAUUCGGCACUGUCGAUGAAGCAUGGACAUUCUGGGUUACUUAUGGGGGCAAAGUUGGAUUUGGUACUAGAAAGCGAUACCUCAACCCAAGUAAGUUUGAUCGGACAAUCACGUCGUGCAGAUUUGUUUGUCGCAAGGAAGGCCAUCGAGGAAAAGACAAAAGAGAUAAGCAUAUUAAGGAACCUCGAGCUGAGAUUCGAACCGGUUGUCUAGCUCGCAUGGGUCUCACAAUAAACAGAGAAGCGGGAAAUUAUGAAGUAACCGAUCUUGUUCUAGAGCACAACCACAUUAUGCAGUUGCAAGAAACAUGCCACUUUCUGCCAUCACAGCGAAAGAUAUCUGAAAUUCAAGCUUUUGAGAUUGAAAUUGCAGAUGAUUCAGGUAUUGGGCCAAAAGCUGCGUAUGAGUGUGCUAGUCGUCGAGUUGGUGGACCAUCUGUUCUUGGCUAUAUACGUAGGGAUCACAAAAAUCACCUACGUACUAAGCGCCAAAGGGAACUAAUGUAUGGUGAAGCUGGGAGUAUGUUAAAAUACUUUCAGGAUAAAGUCGCCCAAAACCCAUCGUUCCAAUAUGCCAUACAGCUAGACAAUGAAGAACAGAUCACAAAUAUAUUUUGGGCUGAUGCAAAAAUGUUAAUUGAUUAUGCUCAUUUUGGUGAUGUGGUUACUUUUGACACAACAUUUGGAACCAACAAGGAACUUAGGCCAUUUGGUGUAUUCGUUGGGUUCAAUCAAUUCAGACAAACUGUUAUAUUUGGUGCUUGCCUUUUAUAUAGUGAAACAUAUGAGGCUUUCAAAUGGCUAUUUGAAACUUUUCUCUUUGCACAUAAUCAGAAGCAUCCAAGAACUAUAUAUACAGAUCAAGAUGUUGCAAUGGGAAAUGCGGUUGAGGAUGUAUUUUUAAUGGCACGGCAUGGUUUAUGCACGUUUCACAUAAUGCAGAAUGCCAUCAAACAUUUAUCUUGUCAUAAGAAGGAGGAGGAGGAGGCGGAGGAGGAGGUUGAAGGGGAGGGGGAGGGGGAGGAGGAGGAGGAGGAGGAUGAACCACAUAUUCUUGCAGACUUCAGUGCUUGCAUGUAUGAGUACCGAGACAAGGAAACAUUUGAGGAAGCUUUUGACACCAUGCGAGGUAAAAUAGAAAAACAAACUUGGCUUGAUAGCAUCUAUAAGGUAAAAGAGAAGUGGGCUGAAUGUUUUAUGAUGGAUGCUUUCACCUUGGGAAUGCGAAGCACACAACUAAGUGAGAGCCUAAAUAAUGACCUCAAGAACCACUUAAAAGCAGAUCUUGACAUUCUUCGUUUUUUCAAACAUUUUGAAAGGGCCGUGCAAGUGAAACGUGAUGCUGAGUUGAAUUCAGAGUAUGAGUCUAGGGAGUUAUUACCUAGGGUCAAAAUGAAUGUUCCCAUGUUGAUCCAGGCAAGCAAGGUCUACAGUCCUAUCAUAUUUGAAAGUUUUCAAGCAGAAUUUGAGAGAUCCAUUGCAUCAUUCACCAAACAACUAGAUGUGGGCUAUGAAUUUGCCAUAACAAUCAGCUCCGAAGAUGAAUGCAAAGUUAUUGGGAAUCCUUUUGAACAAACAGCUUCCUGCAGCUGUGGCCAGUUUGAGAGAAUCGGUAUAUUGUGUGCCCAUGCUAUAAAAGUUCUUGAUUUGAUGAACAUUAAGUUAUUGCCAGAACAUUAUAUUCUGAAGAGAUGGACUAGAGAAGCACGGUGUGGAACUAUUCAGGACAGAAGUGGGAGGAAUGUUGUUGAGAACCCAAUGUUCGAUAUUGAUCAGCGCUACAAAUCUCUCAAUCGCAAGUUUAUGAAUUUGGCCACCCAAGUAGCUCCCUCCGAAGAAUGUUGUACUCUGCUUGAAAGUGCACUUGAUAGCCUUACUAAGGAAUUUCUAGGCCGAAUGAAAAAUGCCCAUCAAAGUAACCACAUGGAGGGAUGUUCCACCCAAGUGGUACAUGAAGAAUCAAAUGAGCACUUAGCUGCUGCACGCCUAAAGAAAAAAUCUCCUAAGAAGAAAACUAGAAAGAGAAAGUUGAACUGGAUUGACAAGCAACAUAAGAACAAGAAGAAAGGGGCUCCAAAGAAAGGACAAACUGAAGUAAAGAGAGCAAAGAAAUUACCUAAGUUUCAGCAAAGAGAAGAUGGGAUUGGACCAUCACAAUCGCACACCAUAGAAAACAAUGAGUAUUGGAGCAACCAGAAUGUGACCGGGAGUAAUUGUUUCACAGAUAAUUAUAUUGCACCUAGUUUUACCGAUUUGGUGACGACUUCUAGAGUCGAAGACAUUGAAGCCCUUUGCCGUGACGACUUCUUUUGA